rnacentral:tRNA from 2 species
CUUCCGUAGUAUAGUGGUCAGUAUGCAAGCUUGUCACGCUUGAGACCCGGGUUCAAUUCCCGGCGGGAGAGA